rnacentral:rRNA from 1 species
UAGGGAAUCUUCGGCAAUGGACGGAAGUCUGACCGAGCAACGCCGCGUGAGUGAAGAAGGUUUUCGGAUCGUAAAGCUCUGUUGUUAGAGAAGAACGUUGGUAGGAGUGGAAAAUCUACCAAGUGACGGUAACUAACCAGAAAGGGACGGCUAACUACGUGCCAGCAGCCGCGGUAAUACGUAGGUCCCGAGCGUUGUCCGGAUUUAUUGGGCGUAAAGCGCGCGCAGGCGGUUCUUUAAGUCUGAAGUUAAAGGCAGUGGCUUAACCAUUGUACGCUUUGGAAACUGGAGGACUUGAGUGCAGAAGGGGAGAGUGGAAUUCCAUGUGUAGCGGUGAAAUGCGUAGAUAUAUGGAGGAACACCGGUGGCGAAAGCGGCUCUCUGGUCGGUAACUGACGCUGAGGCUCGAAAGCGUGGGGAGCAAACAGG